rnacentral:rRNA from 1 species
UGGGGAAUCUUGCGCAAUGGGCGAAAGCCUGACGCAGCAACGCCGCGUGCGGGAUGAAGGCCUUCGGGUUGUAAACCGCUUUCAGGAGGGACGAAAACAGACGGUACCUCCAGAAGAAGCCCCGGCCAACUACGUGCCAGCAGCCGCGGUAACACGUAGGGGGCGAGCGUUGUCCGGAUUUAUUGGGCGUAAAGAGCUCGUAGGCGGCUCGGUAAGUCGGGUGUGAAACCUCCAGGCUCAACCUGGAGACGCCACCCGAUACUGCCGUGGCUAGAGUCCGGUAGAGGAGCGUAGAAUUCCUGGUGUAGCGGUGAAAUGCGCAGAUAUCAGGAGGAAUACCAGCGGCGAAGGCGGCGCUCUGGGCCGGUACUGACGCUGAGGAGCGAAAGCGUGGGGAGCAAACAGG